GAAGCACAAGGGAGGCGCAGAGAAGAUUAGGGGAAAAAAGAGACAGGCAUUGCUGCAAAUGCUGCAAAAUGUCAGAAACUGACAACCCUGUUUUCUGCUGCUGGACCAUCCUCUGCAGCAUCAGCAGCAGCACCUGUGGCGGCAGCUCUGGCGUGUGACCAGGUGGGAGAUGCAACUCAGGUUGAGUCACCAUCCCCACAGAAGGACUGUGGCAGGGAGGGAGAGGAGAGCAGCCUGGUCGUACUAGUCCAGACUGAAGAUGAUCAUGCAUCCACUGCCAGCAUCCCCGCCCCGAUCCCUGGAGAGUGGACCGGUCAGGUACCAAAUUCCCAGGCUGCUUUUUUGCCCCAGUCCGCCCCUGCUCAUAAGUGAUGAUUGAGAGGGAUUAUUUCUGUAUGAGUCUAUACACUGUUUUUAAGGAAGAUCCUGCAGAGUUUAUCUUUAAGGUUUUAGCUCCACAUUGCUCUGCCACAGUCAAUGGAUUAAACCACUGAACAAGACAAAUAGACUUCAUUGUGGAUCAGUAUAAUAUCAGCCUGAUGUCUGCAGUUUAGUGUCAACACAACUUUCACAUCAUAAUAAUCUCAGCACAGGAGUAAAAAAUGGUGUCUGACCUCAGAGUCUCCAGUUUACAGUGUGGACUCUCCAGAAAAUCACACAGCUGCUUCACUCCUGAAUCCUGCAGCUUGUUGUCACUCAGCUCCAGCUCUCUCAGAUGGGAGGGGUUGGACUUCAGAGCUGAGGCCAG